UUGCUUUUACAGCCAAUAUACUAAACUUUACAGAGAAAUUUGGCAUGACUCCUACAUAUAGAUGACACACAGAUUUGUGAAGCAUUUUAUAUGUUU
rnacentral:snRNA from 1 species